rnacentral:rRNA from 1 species
GUGGGGAAUCUUAGACAAUGGGGGCAACCCUGAUCUAGCCAUGCCGCGUGGAUGAUGAAGGUCUUAGGAUUGUAAAAUCCUUUCACCGGUGAAGAUAAUGACUGUAGCCGGAGAAGAAGCCCCGGCUAACUUCGUGCCAGCAGCCGCGGUAAUACGAAGGGGGCUAGCGUUGCUCGGAUUUACUGGGCGUAAAGGGCGCGUAGGCGGACAUUUAAGUCAGGGGUGAAAUCCCGGGGCUCAACCUCGGAACUGCCUUUGAUACUGGGUGUCUUGAGUAUGAGAGAGGUGUGUGGAACUCCGAGUGUAGAGGUGAAAUUCGUAGAUAUUCGGAAGAACACCAGUGGCGAAGGAGACACACUGGCUCAUUACUGACGCUGAGGCGCGAAAGCGUGGGGAGCAAACAGGAUUAGAAACCCUGGUAGUCC